GAUGAACGCUGGCGGCGUGCUUAACACAUGCAAGUCGAACGAAGCAUUUAGGACAGAUUACUUCGGUUUGUAGUUCUUUAUGACUGAGUGGCGGACGGGUGAGUAACGCGUGGGUAACCUGCCUUGUACUGGGGCAUAGCAGCUGGCAACGGCUGGUAUUACCGCAUAAGCGCCCAAUGUUACAUGCGAUGUUGUGAAAAACUCCGGUGGUAUACGAUGGACGCGAGUCUGAUUAGCUAGUUGGUGAGCUAACAGCCCACCAAGGCGACGAUCAGUAGCCGAGAUGAGAGGGGGACCGGCGACAUCGGGACGGAGACACGGCCCAGACUCCUACGGGAGGCAGCAGUGGGGAAUAGUGCAAAAUGGAGGAAACUCUGAAGGAGCGACGACGCGAGAGUGAAGAAGUUAGUCGUUAUGAAAAGCGCUAUCAGCAGGGAAGAUAGUGACGGUACCUGAUGAAAAAGCUCCGGCUAAAUACGUG
rnacentral:rRNA from 1 species